UACAGAGGGGGCAAGCGUUGUUCGGAAUUACUGGGCGUAAAGGGCGCGUAGGCGGCCUGCUAAGUCGAACGUGAAAUCCCCGGGCUUAACCUGGGAAUGGCGUUUGGGACUGGGUCGCUAGAGUGUGGCAGAGGGAGGUGGAAUUCCACGUGUAGCAGUGAAAUGCGUAGAGAUGUGGAGGAACACCGAUGGCGAAGGCAGCCUCCUGGGCCAGCACUGACGCUCAUGCACGAAAGCGUGGGGAGCAAACAGG
rnacentral:rRNA from 1 species